UUACCACCUUGAUUAGAAGCAGUCUGUAAGAGUCUACCUUGUAAUACAGCUGACUCAAACACUGGGGCCAUGCAGAUCCAGUGUUAGACAGAGGCUUUUUGCUGCUAAUUUAUCUCUGCUUCUUACUUGAGUUUCUCUGCAUUUCUCAGUUUCCAACCCUGAAAUCAGAUCUGCUGGGAAAGGGUGUAGGAGGAGAGACCAUGCUUUGAUCUGCUACCUCUUGAAACAUCACAGCUACCUGAAAUCUUUACAUUUUCUGUGAAUUAUUUAAAACUUUUUCUAAAAAAAAAAAAAGGAUAUAUUUUGAUGUGGAAAUGUUGCUGUGCUGCUUCAUGGAAAUCGUACAGAAGGUAUCCAAAGGCCCUGUGCUGUAUUCUCCAGCCACUAUAUCACACCUGCGAUGUUUUGUGACUGAGGACUCCAGCCAUGCAGUUUGGUGCAUGGGUCAUCAGGAGAGAUGGUCUGCACAGAUACAAAAUUUAAAAAUAGACAUGUAUAAAUGCACACAAAAACUAUAUGCAGGUGUAGAAUAUAUGUACAUAUAUACACACAUUUAUAUCUCUGUUAAAUAACCAAUUAUAAAAAGAAGUUCCUUCCCUGAUAUGGUUUCCUGACUUGUGUAUAUUCAACAGCAGUGUGCUGGUAAAAAUUUUAGGAAUUGUUCCUCAUUCUGCCAAAGAUUUUCCAUGUAAAAUGUAUGGGGACUUUUUUUUUUUCAUUUAUUUUGUGUUGUAGGAUUUUAAAAUCUAAUUUCACUUAAUGUAACCAUUUCUUUAUUUAGCUCUUCAGAUUGGGAAGUGAUACAUAGGCAAGGGCAGCUAUAUAUUCAUUGGCAGUGUAAUUUGUAGAUGAGGAGGAUGACUAAAAGCAUUUUUGAAAGAGCACUUAUGUACAAGGGGGGAAAAAUUCCUUAUCCUUCUAUUGUUUGUUUGUUUGUUUUUAUUUCUAUUUUGAAUGGUAAAUUCUAUGAGGAUUCAUUAGUCCUGCUGUGCACAGCUUGAUAGUACUUCACAGAGGAUUGGGUCUAUAGACUUUCUAAUAUUGUGUGUGAACUACAACUCACCUUGGAGACAGCUGAUAACUUUCUAUCACUCAUAGUUUUAUCCUGGUAGAUUUUGUAGCGAUUUGUUGGGAUGCUGACAUUUCCAAAUCCAUAUCACACCUUUGCACUAAUAAAUGGAACAUGAAGCAGCAAUGUGUAGUAUUUGAAGCUCUUGAGCUCAUGAUGCCAUGUAUCACACUGUAUACUGUAUAACACUGCAAACUUGCCAUCUUAAUUCCUUAUGCAAACUUGCCACAGAGUUUUCUGCAGAUUCAGGGUAAUUUAACAUGCCUUUUGAAACUGAUAUAUUAGUGCUGUAAUAUGCUCAAGGUUUUUCAUUGUGUGGUCUGGUAGAAGUGAGACAAAUAGUUUGAUUUAAAGUUUUCCUGUCAGCAAAAUGAUGAUAUCUGAGAUGAAAAACAUGCUGCAUGUGAAGCACAACAACUUAUGUAAGGCUUGGCAUCAGUGUAUCAACAGGUUCAUGGAAAAGCAAUGGUUCAAAUGGGUGCCAUAGCAGUUGGCUACAACACAGUGUUUUGUUUUUUGUUUUUCUUUUUGUUAUCCUCUGAUUAGAUCUAUAACAAAGAGGAAUUUUGAAGGCGUGGUAAGAAGUGGGAAGCCAGGUUGAGAAUCAGAGCUAGUAGGGAAACUGACAUGAGGAGAGUCCCAGUUCAGCAUGGGAUGCAGUUCCAUCUGAACAGAAAUGUGACUGUCACUAGUGAAAGUUUUGCAUUUGCGUGAUCAGAUACCCUGCAAGUUAUAGGGCAAUAAACGAAUGUGUGAAAUAUUACGUAUUUUUUGUAUGUCUAAAUACUAUUUAAAUAAGUACUCCCUGAAUGUAGUAACAUAGUAGAAGCAGGAAAAAAUGUAAUUUACAGGAACAGGAUCUUCACUGUACAUGAAAAAAAUGGCCUCACAUCUAUUUUCUGGAUCAAACUACCAUUUACAACAGGCAUGCACUGUGUUUCUCACUGUCUUCCUCUGCAGUGAAUCAGUCUCAACUGUUGUUUCUAACCAUGGCUUCUCCGACCAGCAUUUCAGAGAAAGAACCACUAGAGACUAUGCAGAUACCAUCAGUACUUUCCUAAGUCCUGACAACACUUCAAGUCACACGUUGUAGCACUGCAUUGCCUUUCCCUAAUGGCACUGCAUCAAAAGUUUGUGAUCAACUUGUGUUUGACCACAACUGAAAUAAGCACAUUUCUGCAGACCAACAGCAUCUUGAUUUGCUGAUAAAGAACUUGCAGAGGGAGUGUUUUAGUCAGUAUCUACUUUUUUUCCUAGUCAACUGGCUCUUUGCAUGGCUCAUUAUGUCUUAACACCACUGAUCACUUUGUAACUUUCUUUUCAAAAACACAUGGAUACACAAAAGGCGUUUCCUGUAAGUGUUGGAUCUAGGCUUGAGAAUUUAAGUGCAAAAUGACCAAAACUUUCAAAAUAAUUGGCACCAAGUGACAGCAAUAGGUCUGCAGUAUUUCCUUUCUCAAAUGUCUAUUUAAAAGCAUGCAUGUGUUUCUUUGUGAAAAGGGAGAAAAGAUGUAGUAUUUAUAAGGAUUUUCUACUAUUAUUAUUACUAUUAUUAUUAUUUCUAUAACAUUCUCAGCUUCAAAAUCUGAUGUAAGAUGCAAUUGGUUUGGGUUACUGGUACACCAUGUAAAAUUUUGUGUGCUCAUAGUAGAAAAAUGAAAAAUUAUUGUAGCUAAAGGCAAGAAAAGUCUUGGUUUCUGCACUGAAGCAAACAUAGGAAUACUUCAACUCAAUAACUAUGCAGAAUGAAAGCUGGGAGAAUGAUUUUUCCACCAACGCUUUCUUCUUUGUCAUAUUAUAAAAUGCCAUCCUAACAUCUAAAAUAGUUAAAACUGUGAUCUUCUGAAUCAUUUUGCAGCACUGAUUCUUUGAAUCUCAUUCUUGUCUCUUCAUAACUGCAAAAAGGGAAAUACCUCCUUGCUCAUUUCCUUCACUCACCUGCUAUGUAACCAAGCCCUGGUUUCGUCAGUGCAAGCUGCUGCAGACGCACAGGAAUGUCAGGGUGAGGCUGCUCACUUAAAUGGCUGUUCUACUUCUGCUUUUUCUGGGACCAAAGAACCACAGAACACACUGGGAAGAUAGAUUGGAAGUCAGAGGCAGCCCAGACCUACUAGCAGCAGCGAAAUGAAAACUGGAGACAUUGAAUGAUAAGAAAACAACUGAGUUGGUAAAGACUCAACUGAUGGAGCUCUCUUGUGGAACAUAUUGUGUCUACAAUGUUACAGGUCAUUUCCUUUGCCUUUCUCUAUAAACAUGUUUUUCAAAUUGGUUUCAAGUUGGCCCAGCUGCUUCAAGCACAGUAUAUUGAAAGCAUAUUAAUAUGACAGAUAACUAGCAGCUGUUGUUGGAAAACUGACAAAGCAAAGGGUAGAUGUUGCUUCAGAGGGUGAACUUGUGUUUUCAGACACAUCUUCCUCAGUGGUUUGCUUCUCUAUGAGUCUUUCUCUGCAAAGACUGAGCCAGUGACACGAGGCCACAUAAUUUCCAAAUGCAACUAUGAAACACUCAUGCCUUGUAAGAAACGUAUGCAGAUGUACGUAUUGCUCAAAGCAAUGAAUGACAGAAAAGUGUUCUUGAUCUCUGCAAUUGUUCCCUCUGUUAAAAGCAUUUCUGUAUCAAAGAUUUGGAGACAGUGUAAAAAGUGGCACAAAUCCUGACUGAAUGUGUCCUAGAGGUAUUCUGAGCCAUUUAACCAUGUCCUUUUUCCUAGGUCUUCAAUCCAGACUUUGCCUUAAAACUUUUUUUUUUCUUUUUUUUUCUUUUUCUUUUUUUCCCCCCCACCAAAUAUAGUUUGGUUAAAAUAUGGGUAAACAAUAUUUUUCAUGACUGGAAGAGAUACCAAUUUUUCUUUCUACCCUUAGUUUUUUUAUUGUUUCUUGUCUAAAACACUGCAUGAAUGGCUUGAGAAGGAGACAAAAACACCACAAACCAUUUAACUGCCAACAGUACGUUUUUUGUAUUACAAAAAUACAACAAUAUUACAACAGUAUUACAGCAGUAACAGUAUUACAACAAUACUUAUUUUGUACUUAAAUCUAUCAGGACAUGUAUAGCUUCAAGUCUGUUGCUGUUAUGAUUCUACAAGUUUCACAUCACUCACAAGGCCCGUAGCUGUCAAGCACUGUGUAGCUUCCUUAAUAAGAGAGAAUAAACACAAAUGUGCUUUGAUCUACUUCAUUGCUUCAGAGUUUAAAAUGCACUCUGAGAGCUUGUCAUGGGAUUUCAAAAAACAGUUAUUGAGAAGAGUAACUAUGAAAGUAGCCAUUUUUCACUGACAUCAUUUUUCUGUAAUUGAGAUCUGGGAGGUAAGAGCUUUAUGUUUUCUUAUGUGUGUAUGUUUAUAUAUAUUUUUUCCCAUAGUGUAGUCCACAAGAAUUGUUGAUCUAUAUAAUUUUUCUUUUAUAAUUCACUCUGCCCUGAGGAACCACAGUCAAGCAGAAGGCCAGGAGUCUGCAAGAACACAGACAAACCAUAUAAGCAUUUAUAAGCAGCCUGGAGAGCACCAAGCAUUAAAAAAAUAAAUCUACCUUUCAAAUAGACUUACAUUAGGAAUCCUUGAGCUCAUUUCUGGGACAGACCACAUGGUUAGAGAAAGACUGCCUGCUUCCAUCCAUUCACAAACUGCUGAUCUUUGUUCCUUUCAUAAUUUUCUAACAUUACAGCAGCAAUUACACAGAAAAAUGUCUAAUGUAUGUUGUACUUCUUUUAAUGUAGUUUAGCAUCUGGAAACUUGGAGGAAACAAUCUGCUUUUUAGGGGCAACAUCUUCAGAAUUGCUGACUUAGGCCACAAUCCCAUGCAGUCGCAGGGAUGGAACAGCACAGAAAUCUUUGCAGAUCAUUACAGAGGGCUAUAAACUUCUUUUUUUUUCUUUUUCUUUUUCUUUUUUUUUUUUUUGAAAGAUGCUUUAAAACUAUUUUGGGUAUUUAUUUACUUCCCCCCACCCUCACCCCCCUUGUCCCAAAUUGCACAUUAAUGUAACAGCUGUUUGAAUUUAUGCCCUUUUAGCAAAAAUGUAAUUAGGUUGCUAUGAAAUAGCCUACUGCUGAGAAACGUUUGUUUAAAAAGAAAAAAAAGAACAAUGUUCUCUAAAUAAUGGAAAUGAAACCUUUUAUUAUUUUCCUUUGGCUCCUCUUAAGUCUUGUUUCAAUAUCAUUCAGAACUAAGUUUCAGUCCUGUACUUUCAGAUUGUUAUUUUUAUUCUUGAAUGGACCCAGAAAGGAGAUACUCCUGAUUUGUUUAAUGGCUAGACUAAGCUUUUAAGGCUGAGGAUGAGGAGAAAAUUAGUAUUGAUGUGUAGGGUCAAUUAACAGACAGGUUUUGUAAUCUAAAAAACUUCUUCCUUACAGAAGAAUUUUACAAGGCCUGAAGAAUUUUAUACUGAAGUCUUUUUUUAUUUUUAUUUUUUUAUUUUUAUUUAUUUCAAGGUUUUAGAAGCUAUAUAGGGAAAAUGAUGAACCACCAACGUAGUCACAACACAAAAAGUCCAUCAGGAAUCAUGCCUCUCACAGAAUUUGCUAACAAACAGCAUAAAACAAAGCUUCCACUGCCUUCUUUGAACUGUAUAGACCAUCAUCAGAACUUCUAAGUUGUAUUUUGGGAGAGCUUGCAAUUUCUAAGAUUACAUUGUAGCCCAAGAAUGUUGAUCAUUCAGAUUCCUGCAAAACGGCAUCUAUUAGAAGGAUACAAUCCCUAGCUACAAGAAGGCAAAAAGCAUCUUAGAUUGUGCUGAGGCCAACAGUGUUCACUCAGAAGCAUCUGAGGUGAUACUGAAUCUUCAAAAGCGGCUCGAUAAUAGAACAUGACUGAAAUUGUUCUGGCAGCCCUGACCAAAUGAAUCCUUUCUCUGGAUUCUGAGGUGGGAUUCAUGUGGAAUAUAAUCCUAGCGUUAUCUAAAUCUGCAUGGCUAACCUGUAUCCUAGUCUCCUCUGUGGCCAACUCUUAGCUUCAGAGAUUGCUACCAUGACACUUCCGACCUUGUCAGCAUGUUUCUUUCAGUCAGGCCUCGUGAAAGGGCAGCUGGGCCAAACAUGGCAUGGGUGGGUCAUGCAUGGCUAGUAUCAGCUGUAGAUCAGCUCUAAAGCCCAGAGAGCCUGCAGCUAAGCAGCACUGCAUACCAGUGUCCUACAGCUGGGCUGAAAUUGGGCCUCAGGUGUGGCUGCCCAGUUUGUUAAGUGCCCCCAGGGCAGUUGGUGGUGCUCCCUUGGGAGUGAGGCGGAUUGGUCAGUGUGCACCUGAGGGAGAAGUCCCAUCAGGAGCAGCUGGGGGUGUGCAGUGGGCCCUCACUCUUUUUUUGUUCUGUGAUGAGGUAGUUCUGUUUGGGAUUUGGUUCUUCCAAACUCUCAGUUGCAAGGUAAAAAAAAGCUUUUUGGGCUGUGGAAAGUGAAAGAACUUGAAUAAACAACUUCUGCUUUGGCUGGGGCCUUACUGCAGGCUGCAGGGAUAACACCACAGGUGCAGCAGCCCUUGGUGCCAACAGCAAGAGGACUCUGCUGCUGUCCUGGAAAGCUGCUAAUUUGGGGAGUUUUGACAUGGCAGGAUUACUGAGAGUGUGGUUCCAGCCAGAGAUAUGCAAAAUGCUUGUAAUGAAACUGCAAGCCAAGUGAAAACAGAGCAACAAGAUAUUGCAUGUAGUAGAGAGUGGCUCCUGCUUCAAGUAGAAGAAAAAGAAGAGAGGGCAACCUCCUGGACUUAUUCUGUGUCCGGGGACAAUUCACGUUCUUCUGUCCUGAGGAAAGAGAAAGGGAUGUAGAGAGGGGAAGAGAAAGAGAGGAGCUCAGACCCAGGGAAUAAUUACAGCACCAAGGCAUUAUAAGCUGAAGACUUGCUCUCCAUCCAAAGCUGGGCAGAGCUGUGUGAGAUGUCUCUUUCUUUUGGAUGUUCCCAGGUUGCUCCUGAAGAAUAGUUAUGGGAAGAAACUUCCCUACAUCGUGGGUGUUCUCUGAAUAUUUUGGGGGGCCAGUUUAAAAGAAGAAACGUUCCCAUGUGUCUGUUUCCCUACUCCCUGCAUCUGCUGAAGUUCUGCUGGCUGUUCUGUUGUCAGUGUAACAAACAGGACUGCUGGAGGCAAUGUAGGCACUCUCAACAAAUGUACAUCAUCAGCCCAGCAGAUCAGUGAGCAGUGCUGUCUUUCUUUUGCGUGUAAUUAAAAAGGGAACUUGAUUUGAUUCUGAUGUUCCUCACUGCCUGCCUCUGUAGAAGUCCAACAACAUGCUAAGGGGAAGUAAUACAUGGGAAUGAUCUGUGCAGGCUCUGUGUGUUUUUGUAGUCUACCACACUUUGUGAGGAUAAGGUGUUGCCUGGAGUAGGCAAUUAUUGCAUCUCUGGUGUUACAGAAAAGAGAUUCUUUGGGCCAAAUUGACUUUGCAGUGCAGUUUUCUGACUGUCUUACAGCAUCCUACAGCCCAGCAGUAAUGUCUGCCAUUAAGAGCUUUGCAUAUAAGCCAAGGUGAGAUCAGGACUGUCUUGCACUGAUGAUGGAGGUUUUAGGGAAGUUCUGUCAGCAUAUGAGCUGUGGAAAACCCCAAGAUGAGUUAUUAGUGUUUAAGGUGUACUAGAAGAGCUUGGACAUGCUCCUGUUUGCUUAUACAUGCAUGCCAAUUACCUGAUGAUUCUCCAGGUUGUCUAGCUAUGAAGUAAUCUAUCUGAAACCUGGGCAAAGCCAUUACAGGGGAUAUCAGACAAACACCUCUCUUAUUUAUGCUGCAGAAUAGAGGUAAUGAACAUCCAAUUUCUUAGCUCUUCUACUCUUGAGCUUGGAGCAAAGAAUUUUUUUCCAAGGUGUCAACUGCUAACCUGACUACUAAGUUGUUGCUAUCACAGAAAGAAGAGAACAUUGACAGGCACCUUUCUUUUGAAAGAGUCAUCUACAGUGCUGUAGCUGUUAAGUUUUGCAGAAUAGCUGCCUACGAGAGGGAGAAAAGGCAAGUUAGGCAGCCUUCAGACUUUUGGUAUGCGCUAAUUAUGACAUGAAUUGUAUGAAUUUCAUUUGUACUCAUGUAUUUAUAUAUAUAUCAUUAAUUUGUUACAAAGAGGGGAAAAAUCAUUAAUGUAGAGUCAAAUUGCCUGUAAAUGACUAAAGGAAUAUGUUAAUGAUCCUGCUCCAAAAUGAAUAAUUAUAAAGCAGGUGCACUUGAGAUGUGAUCAUUUAACUGACAGCAAGCAGCUUCUAAUAUCUUGAAUAUCCAUAAUAACAGUGAUGUCAUAACCAGAAAAAACCAUUGCUCACAUCCUCCUUUUGAUACACAGGAGGACUGUGCAUAACUCCUGUAUAGAGCUGUUGCCCUGCCUACUUAAGGAAUGGCUAAUUUACAAACAAAUCAAGAAUUCACUGUGUUGCUUUUUAUGCAAUAUAUUUCCAGUAAAAUGUCAUGGUAUUGUCUCAAACAGAAAAUAAACUUUGAUAGCAGAAGGCAUUAGUA